rnacentral:rRNA from 1 species
GACGAACGCUGGCGGCGUGCCUAAUACAUGCAAGUCGAGCGGACGGAUGGGAGCUUGCUCCCAGACCGUCAGCGGCGGACGGGUGAGUAACACGUGGGCAACCUGCCUGUAAGACUGGGAUAACUCCGGGAAACCGGGGCUAAUACCGGAUAACUCUUUCCCUCACAUGAGGGAAAGCUGAAAGAUGGCAUCUCGCUAUCACUUACAGAUGGGCCCGCGGCGCAUUAGCUAGUUGGUGAGGUAACGGCUCACCAAGGCGACGAUGCGUAGCCGACCUGAGAGGGUGAUCGGCCACACUGGGACUGAGACACGGCCCAGACUCCUACGGGAGGCAGCAGUAGGGAAUCUUCCGCAAUGGACGAAAGUCUGACGGAGCAACGCCGCGUGAGUGAUGAAGGUGUUCGGAUCGUAAAACUCUGUUGUCAGGGAAGAACAAGUACCGGAGUAACUGCCGGUAUCUUGACGGUACCUGACCAGAAAGCCACGGCUAACUACGUG